GCCCUCGUAGUUCAACGGAUAGAAUAUAUGGCUUCGAACCAUAGGAUGGGGGUUCGAUUCCCUCCGAGGGCA
rnacentral:tRNA from 1 species